CUCAAAGGAGCUCACAGUUUGGUGAAGAAGGCAAAUAAGGACACAAACAACAUGAAAGAAUUCAACGAAGGGAGUUGGGGCCUCAGAAUUGGGAGUGGUCGGGGUAGGCUGAGCCUAGAGCUGUAGUCUAGUUCUUCUCCGAGGGGGCCACCUGUCAGUGCAUCCAGUGGUCGUGGUCAGUGAUGAUAAUUUUGCUUGGGCUUGAAAAUGGAAGAAUAUGUCUAAUGGAGAAAUUGGUUAAAAAUAAGUAUUUAUUUUUGCUUGUAAUUAUAGUAGAUUUCAUGACUACAGUGGAAAAUUUAGAAGGAAAAAAAGAUGUAAAAAUAGCCAUUAAUCUCAUUUCAGAGGUAACCACGGAUCACACCUUGAUGUAUUCUCUAAAUUUUUAAUGUCUGUGUACACACACAUACCUUACAAAUUAUCUUUAAAUCCCUUAUGCUGAAGAAUAGAAGGGCUAAUUUUACGGGCAACACAAUAUAUGUGUUAUUUUGUGUGUGUGUCUGCAUGUGUGAGGAAGAUUGGCCUUGAGCUAACAUCUGUUGACAAUCUUCCACUUUUUGCUCGAGGAAGAUCAUUGCUGAGCCUAAAGUUUGCAUAUUUUAAAGUCAAAUUUUGACUUAUUUGAGAAGCCAUUUUUUUUAUUGUGGCAAGAUAUACAUAACAAAAUUUAUCAUUUUAACAAUUUUUUUAAUCGAGAUAACAUAGGUUUAUAACAUUCUAUAAAUAUCAGGUGUACAUCAUUAUAUUUCAGUUCCUGUGUAGACUACAUCACAUUCACCACACAAAGACGAAUUACCAUCCAUCACCAUGCACAUGUGCUCUGUCACCCGUUUCGUCCUCCUUCCUUACCUCUCCCCCACUUCCCCUCUGGUAACCACCAAUCUAAUUUCUGUCUCUAUGUGUUUGUUUGUUGUUGUUUUUGUUUUAAUCUUCUAUUUAUGAGUGAAAUCAUGUGGUAUUUGACUUUCUCGCUCUGACCUAUUUUGCUUAGCAUAAUAUCCUCAAGGUCUAUCCAUGUUGUCACGAAUGGCAAGAUUUCAUCUUCUUUUUAUAGCUCGUUAGUAUUCCAUUGUGUAUAUAUACUAC
rnacentral:lncRNA from 1 species